rnacentral:rRNA from 1 species
AUACGUAGGGGGCGAGCGUUGUCCGGAAUGAUUGGGCGUAAAGGGCGCGUAGGCGGCCCGGUAAGUCUGGAGCGAAAGCCCUGUUUUUAAGAUGGGAAUUGCUUUGGAUACUGUCGGGCUUGAGUGCAGGAGAGGUAAGUGGAAUUCCCAGUGUAGCGGUGAAAUGCGUAGAGAUUGGGAGGAACACCAGUGGCGAAGGCGACUUACUGGACUGUAACUGACGCUGAGGCGCGAAAGUGUGGGGAGCAAACAGGAUUAGAUACCCUGGUAGUCCACACUGUAAACGAUGAAUGCUAGGUGUAGGGGGUAUCGACCCCUUCUGUGCCGCAGUCAACACAAUAAGCAUUCCGCCUGGGGAGUACGGCCGCAAGGUUGAAACUCAAAGGAAUUGACGGGG